rnacentral:lncRNA from 1 species
UUGUCAGUGUUUGUGCAAUGAAGGUAUACUCGAAGCUUCCUUCUCUUUGAACCUUGCACGCUUGCCAUUAACACCUUGGUGCCCACCAAUUUCUUGAACAGAAGAGAUAGCCAAUAAUCCUAGUUGUAAAGGAUCGAAGUUUUCAUCCACUAAAUGGUAGUUUCCUGCUCCAAAGAAUACUUGCCUCAUCACCACUUCUAUUCCCAUUCGGGCUGACAGGCCCAAUUUAUCCAGCCAC